rnacentral:rRNA from 1 species
GACGAACGCUGGCGGCGUGCCUAAUACAUGCAAGUCGAACGCACGAAGUUGAAGAGCUUGCUCUUUAACCAAGUGAGUGGCGGACGGGUGAGUAACACGUGGGUAACCUGCCCAUUAGAGGGGGAUAACAUUCGGAAACGGAUGCUAAUACCGCAUAGUUUCAGGAAUCGCAUGAUUCUUGAAGGAAAGGUGGCUUCGGCUACCACUAAUGGAUGGACCCGCGGCGUAUUAGCUAGUUGGUGAGGUAAUGGCUCACCAAGGCAAUGAUACGUAGCCGACCUGAGAGGGUGAUCGGCCACACUGGGACUGAGACACGGCCCAGAUUCCUACGGGAGGCAGCAGUAGGGAAUCUUCCGCAAUGGACGAAAGUCUGACGGAGCAACGCCGCGUGAGUGAAGAAGGUUUUCGGAUCGUAAAACUCUGUUGUUAAAGAAGAACAAGGAUGAGAGUAACUGCUCAUCCCCUGACGGUAUUUAACCAGAAAGCCACGGCUAACUACGUGCCAGCAGCCGCGGUAAUACGUAGGUGGCAAGCGUUGUCCGGAUUUAUUGGGCGUAAAGCGAGCGCAGGCGGUUCUUUAAGUCUGAUGUGAAAGCCCCCGGCUCAACCGGGGAGGGUCAUUGGAAACUGGAGAACUUGAGUGCAGAAGAGGAGAGUGGGAAUUCCACGUGUAGCGGUGAAAUGCGUAGAUAUGUGGAGGAACACCAGUGGCGAAGGCGACUCUCUGGUCUGUAACUGACGCUGAGGCUCAAAAGCGUGGGGGAGCAAACAGG